rnacentral:sRNA from 1 species
CUUGCGGCCCGACUUGAGUGGAGCUCUUUUUUGGAUGGGAAAAGCCUUAGCAAAAAGCAGGAACGGAAGGCGGAUAAAGCU